CCUACGGGAGGCAGCAGUGGGGAAUUUUCCGCAAUGGGCGAAAGCCUGACGGAGCAACGCCGCGUGAGGGAUGAAGGCCUCUGGGCUGUAAACCUCUUUUAUCAAGGAAGAAGAUCUGACGGUACUUGAUGAAUAAGCCACGGCUAAUUCCGUGCCAGCAGCCGCGGUAAUACGGGAGUGGCAAGCGUUAUCCGGAAUUAUUGGGCGUAAAGCGUCCGCAGGCGGUCUUGUAAGUCUGUCGUUAAAGCGUGGAGCUUAACUCCAUUUCGGCGGUGGAAACUACAAGACUAGAGUGUGGUAGGGGCAGAGGGAAUUCCCGGUGUAGCGGUGAAAUGCGUAGAUAUCGGGAAGAACACCAGUGGCGAAGGCGCUCUGCUGGGCCAUAACUGACGCUCAUGGACGAAAGCUAGGGGAGCGAAAGGGAUUAGAUACCCCUGUAGUCCUAGCCGUAAACGAUGAACACUAGGUGUCGGGGGAAUCGACCCCUCGGUGUCGUAGCUAACGCGUUAAGUGUUCCGCCUGGGGAGUACGCACGCAAGUGUGAAACUUAAAUGAAUUGACGGCUGGAAGAGUGCGAGACGACGACGAGGAGAGG
rnacentral:rRNA from 1 species